rnacentral:rRNA from 1 species
AGAGUUUGAUCAUGGCUCAGGACGAACGCUGGCGGCGUGCCUAACACAUGCAAGUCGAACGGGGAUUUUGUUUCGGCAGAAUCCUAGUGGCGAACGGGUGAGUAACGCGUAGGCAACCUGCCCUCCGGCCGGGGACAACACUCCGAAAGGGGUGCUAAUACCGGAUACGAAGUCUGUGCCGCAUGGUACGGAUUUGAAAGAUGGCCUCUAUUUAUAAGCUAUCGCCGGGGGAUGGGCCUGCGUCCGAUUAGCUGGUUGGUGGGGUAACGGCCUACCAAGGCGACGAUCGGUAGCCGGACUGAGAGGUUGAACGGCCACAUUGGGACUGAGACACGGCCCAGACUCCUACGGGAGGCAGCAGUGGGGGAUAUUGCGCAAUGGGGGAAACCCUGACGCAGCAACGCCGCGUGGAGGAUGACGGUUUUCGGAUUGUAAACUCCUUUUAUGGGGGACGAACUAAGACGGUACCCCAUGAAUAAGCUCCGGCUAACUACGUGCCAGCAGCCGCGGUAAUACGUAGGGAGCAAGCGUUGUCCGGAUUUACUGGGUGUAAAGGGUGCGUAGGCGGCUUGGUAAGUCAGGUGUGAAAUGUAGAGGCUCAACCUCUGAACUGCACUUGAAACUAUUGAGCUUGAGUGAUGUAGAGGCAGGCGGAAUUCCCUGUGUAGCGGUGAAAUGCGUAGAGAUAGGGAGGAACACCAGUGGCGAAGGCGGCCUGCUGGGCAUUAACUGACGCUGAGGCACGAAAGUGUGGGUAGCAAACAGGAUUAGAUACCCUGGUAGUCCACGCUGUAAACGAUGAUUACUAGGUGUGGGUGGACUGACCCCAUCCGUGCCGCAGUUAACACAAUAAGUAAUCCACCUGGGGAGUACGGCCGCAAGGCUGAAACUCAAAGGAAUUGACGGGGGCCCGCACAAGCAGUGGAUUAUGUGGUUUAAUUNGAAGCAACGCGAAGAACCUUACCAGGUNUUGACAUNCNCCUGACCGGUCCUUAAACGGGCNUUCUCUUNGGAGCNGGGGGGACAGGUGGUGCAUGGUUGUCGUCAGCUCGUGUCGUGAGAUGUUGGGUUAAGUCCCGCAACGAGCGCAACCCUUGCCAUUAGUUGCUACGCGAGAGCACUCUAAUGGGACCGCUACCGACAAGGUGGAGGAAGGUGGGGAUGACGUCAAAUCAUCAUGCCCCUUAUGACCUGGGCUACACACGUAAUACAAUGGCCAUCAACAGAGGGUCGCAAUACCGCGAGGUGGAGCCAAUCCCUAAAAAUGGUCUCAGUUCGGACUGCAGGCUGCAACCCGCCUGCACGAAGUCGGAAUUGCUAGUAAUGGCAGGUCAGCAUACUGCCGUGAAUACGUUCCCGGGCCUUGUACACACCGCCCGUCACACCAUGAGAGUCUGCAAUACCCGAAGUCAGUAGCCUAACCGCAAGGAGGGCGCUGCCGAAGGUAGGGCCGAUAAUUGGGGUGAAGUCGUAACAAGGGUAGCCGUAUCGGAA